UCUGAUCCUCAUCCCUGUGUUCAUGCAUCCUGCUCAUCUCAGCUGAGCUUGGAAGCUAAGCAGGGUCGGGCCCGGUCAGUACCUGGAUAGGAGAUCGCCUGGGAAUACCGGGUGCUUGCUCCCAC
rfam:Mesitornis unicolor contig103599, whole genome shotgun sequence.